UACGUAGGGGGCAAGCGUUGUCCGGAUUUAUUGGGCGUAAAGCGCGUGUAGGCGGCCACGCAGGUCCGCUGUGAAAACUCGAGGCUCAACCUCGAGCUGUCGGUGGAAACCGCGUGGCUAGAGUCCGGAAGAGGGGACUGGAAUUCCCGGUGUAGCGGUGGAAUGCGCAGAUAUCGGGAGGAACACCCGUGGCGAAGGCGGGUCCCUGGGACGGUACUGACGCUGAGACGCGAAAGCGUGGGGAGCGAACAGG
rnacentral:rRNA from 2 species